rnacentral:ncRNA from 2 species
AUAAAUAUGAAAAGCUUAGGUUGCUGAUGCAAUAAGAGGGAAACGGGUGAGAGUCCCGUACGGUCCCGCCGCCGUAAGGUGAAGCAAAUUCAAGGAUGCCACUGUUUUGAAUGGGAAGGCUGAAUUUGCAGUGAAACCAAGUCGGAAUACCUGCCUGAGCCAUAUUACACAC